rnacentral:rRNA from 1 species
AUUGAACGCUGGCGGCAUGCCUUACACAUGCAAGUCGAACGGUAACAGGUCUUCGGAUGCUGACGAGUGGCGAACGGGUGAGUAAUACAUCGGAACGUGCCUAGUAGUGGGGGAUAACUACUCGAAAGAGUGGCUAAUACCGCAUGAGAUCUACGGAUGAAAGCAGGGGAUCGCAAGACCUUGUGCUACUAGAGCGGCCGAUGGCAGAUUAGGUAGUUGGUGGGAUAAAAGCUUACCAAGCCGACGAUCUGUAGCUGGUCUGAGAGGACGAUCAGCCACACUGGGACUGAGACACGGCCCAGACUCCUACGGGAGGCAGCAGUGGGGAAUUUUGGACAAUGGGCGCAAGCCUGAUCCAGCAAUGCCGCGCGCAGGAUGAAGGCCUUCGGGUUGUAAACUGCUUUUGUACGGAACGAAAAGCCCUGGGUUAAUACCCUGGGGUCAUGACGGUACCGUAAGAAUAAGCACCGGCUAACUACGUGCCAGCCGCCGCAGUAAAAC